GGGGGGAGCGCUGAUCCUGGGCUCUGUACCUCGGCGCCCUGGGCUCCAGGGCCUGCAUUGCUGGAAUCUCGCUCCCAGGGCAGCGCAGCCCCCU
rnacentral:pre_miRNA from 1 species